AGUGAACGCUGGCGGUAGGCCUAACACAUGCAAGUCGAACGGCAGCACAGUAAGAGCUUGCUCUUACGGGUGGCGAGUGGUGGACGGGUGAGGAAUACAUCGGAAUCUACUUUUUCGUGGGGGAUAACGUAGGGAAACUUACGCUAAUACCGCAUACGACCUACGGGUGAAAGCAGGGGAUCUUCGGACCUUGCGCGAUUGAAUGAGCCGAUGUCGGAUUAGCUAGUUGGCGGGGUAAAGGCCCACCAAGGCGACGAUCCGUAGCUGGUCUGAGAGGAUGAUCAGCCACACUGGAACUGAGACACGGUCCAGACUCCUACGGGAGGCAGCAGUGGGGAAUAUUGGACAAUGGGCGCAAGCCUGAUCCAGCCAUGCCGCGUGGGUGAAGAAGGCCUUCGGGUUGUAAAGCCCUUUUGUUGGGAAAGAAAAGCAGCAGGUUAAUACCCCGCUGUUCUGACGGUACCCAAAGAAUAAGCACCGGCUAACUUCGUG
rnacentral:rRNA from 1 species